rnacentral:rRNA from 1 species
UACGUAGGGGGCGAGCGUUGUCCGGAUUUAUUGGGCGUAAAGAGCGUGUAGGCGGCCAGGUAGGUCUGCUGUGAAAACUCGAGGCUCAACCUCGAGACGUCGGCGGAAACCAUCUGGCUAGAGUCCGGAAGAGGAGAGUGGAAUUCCUGGUGUAGCGGUGAAAUGCGUAGAUAUUAGGAGGAACAUCGGUGGCGAAGGCGGCUUACUGGGCUUUUACUGACGCUGAGGCUCGAAAGCGUGGGGAGCAAACAGG